rnacentral:misc_RNA from 1 species
AAAGGUUGUGACCUCGAAAAAAAAUGAGAGUUUAGACUCUCCAGUUUCUAGGCCACAGGCCGUACCUGUAUCUACCUUGUCUGGGCGGGUAGACUCUGUUAAAUAUGGUAACAUUGACGCCGAGAUAACUGUACAGUCCUCACCUCCCAUCUCAGACCAGUUUGUCAGGGCAGGUAUUGCAGCAGUCAGUUUUUUAUCUGAUGUGGUUAACUAUAAGAUACCUAUGUUAGAUGGAAGCAAAGUGCUUAGCUCAUCCAACAACUGUAUGGUGGAUCAUACAAAGCCUGUAUCCAAUGUGAGACCAUCAAAUAUAAAUACCUCCAGAAAUGACAAACUUCAAGGAAAAGCUUCUACUGAUACACCUGUAACGUCAACCCUUGCACAUAAUUCGAAUUACACAAAAAACAAAGGUGAUAAAAGUAAUUCAGUCAGAGGCAGGAAUCCUGUUUCGAACAGUUCUGUUGGGAAAGUGGAGAGCCAUGGUGUUAUCCCAGAUUCUCGUGACCGAAGGAAGACAAUGCCUCCAAAGCCCAGAACAUAUCCAAAUCGUAACAUGACAAAUGUGCGUGGCUCUGAAGGAAAGCUUAAGCAUGAGAUUCCUGAAGGUUUCAGCAGGCCACAACGAGCAACAAAGUUGCCAAGUGCAGGAGUAAUGGUCAGGCAGUUCUCUAAUAGUAGUCAUGUUGUUGGAACAGUUUCUCGCAUUAUACAACAGUUAAAUUGGAGUCCCGAGACAGAAAAUGCUCUUCGUGAACUCAACUAUUUAUUAGAUCCAUACCAAGCAAACCAAGUUCUUAAGCAGAUCCAUGAUCAUGCGGUUGCUCUUGGCUUUUUCUACUGGUUGAAGCAGCAACCAGGAUUUAAGCAUGACGGACACACCUAUACGACCAUGGUUGGCAUCCUGGGACGUGCUAGGCAGUUUGGGGCUAUUAACAAGUUGCUUGAGCAGAUGGUCAAAGAUGGAUGCCAA